UUUUCCACCCUCAGAAUCACAAGGAUGCUGCCGCCCUUUGUUCCCCACCCACAAAAUCCCUAGCUUUCCUGUUGUUCCCCACGCACGCCGCCGCCCCACGCCGGCCAAUCCCCAUGCCUCCCACCGCCGCCCCAUGUCGUCGGGGGCUACCGCCGGUCUAUCCCACUAUCGCCCCAUGCCGCCCUGCCUCUGCAUCACCAUCCCACGCCGCCCUUCCUCUGUAGCACCGCCCCACACGAUGCCCCGUCCCCACAGCCCCGCCCAAUUCCGACAUGCCUCUCCACCGUCGGCUCCACACCUCGGGCUCUCUCUCCGGUUGGCCGCCUCUCUCCAACCUCCCUGGCCCAACCCCCCAUCUCCAUCGUCCAGCUCAUGAAGACACACGCAGUGGCGGUGGCGGCGAAGAUUUGGAUCUGGGCCGCGUGUGGCUGGGUAAGGACAUCCCUCUCUGUCUUUGGCUGGGCAAGGGCAUCGAUGCGGCUGAGGUAGAACAGAGGACAGAUGCUGGUAACGUUGAGCUGACAAAGAGAAGUAGCAGAAUAUUUGCUAUGCCACUGUAGUGCAUAAGGCAGCGUGCUGAUGUUGCUUCAUUACUUCUCCAUAGAGCAUGGGGAGCUUUUAUCGUUCUUGGAUUUCAUAAAAUAGAAGAGAUGACAGAAAUGGGGUGGGAGGUAUGUGGAAACAGAGCUUCUUACUUGUGGUAGUAGACGACUAGGCAGUUCAUGCAGGUCAGCCCUCAACACCUGACUCCCUUGAUCGGUGUCUUCCUCUUCUCCACUCAUCUAUAGAAGUGAGCCCAACAAAUACUAUUUUUGGCUGAGGCUAGAAUCUUGCACCGGAGCAUAAAACGUUUAGUUGUUAAACAUGUUUCUGUAACAAGUGAGCUAUCCAUCCUGACCAUGUAGGAGUAACACAUUAACUGAUGGGUGGUGCUUUCAGGCUCUGGAAACAUUACUUGAUGUCUCUGUACUCUGGUAUGGGAUGGUGCACUUUUAAUGACGAAAAGAAUGGCACGCACUCCAAAUAUCUUCCUAGAAAGUGGAUUAACUGAAGAAGAAUCUACUACAGAAGUAAGAUCUGGUUACAAUCAAUCUGAAAGGCAA